UGGGAAUUUGGACAAUGGGCGAAAGCCUGAUCCAGCAAUGCCGCGUGUGUGAAGAAGGCCUUCGGGUUGUAAAGCACUUUUGUCCGGAAAGAAAUCCUUGGCUCUAAUACAGUCGGGGGAUGACGGUACCGGAAGAAUAAGCACCGGCUAACUACGUGCCAGCAGCCGCGGUAAUACGUAGGGUGCAAGCGUUAAUCGGAAUUACUGGGCGUAAAGCGUGCGCAGGCGGUUUGCUAAGACCGAUGUGAAAUCCCCGGGCUCAACCUGGGAACUGCAUUGGUGACUGGCAGGCCAGAGUAUGGCAGAGGGGGGUAGAAUUCCACGUGUAGCAGUGAAAUGCGUAGAGAUGUGGAGGAAUACCGAUGGCGAAGGCAGCCCCCUGGGCCAAUACUGACGCUCAUGCACGAAAGCGUGGGGGAGCAAAACAGGAUUAGAUACCCUGGUAGUCCACGCCCUAAAACGAUGUCAACUAGUUGUUGGGGAUUCAUUUCCUUAGUAACGUAGCUAACGCGUGAAGUUGACCGCCUGGGGAGUACGGUCGCAAGAUUAAAACUCAAAGGAAUUGACGGGGUCAUAGCUGUUUCCU
rnacentral:rRNA from 1 species